rnacentral:rRNA from 1 species
AAAUGUUGCUAAUAACUGAAAAGCAAGG